rnacentral:rRNA from 1 species
GAAGGUCAGGCUGAAGACCUUACCCGAUUAGCUGAGAGGUGGUGCAUGGCCGUCGUCAGUUCGUACUGUGAAGCAUCCUGUUAAGUCAGGCAACGAGCGAGGCCCACGUCCACAGUUGCCAGCAUACCCUCCGGGGUGAUGGGUACACUGUGGAGACCGCCGCUGCUAAAGCGGAGGAAGGAGUGGGCAACGGUAGGUCAGUAUGCCCCGAAUCUCCCGGGCUACACGCGGGCUACAAUGGUUGGUACAAUGGGCAUCUACCCCGAAAGGGGAAGGAAAUCUCUUAAAGCCAAUCGUAGUUCGGAUUGAGGGCUGCAACUCGCCCUCAUGAAGCUGGAAUCCGUAGUAAUCGCGUUUCAACAGAACGCGGUGAAUACGUCCCUGCUCCUU